GAUGAACGCUAGCGGCAGGCCUAACACAUGCAAGUCGAGGGGUAGAAGCUUUCGGGCUUUGAGACCGGCGCACGGGCGCGUAACGCGUAUGCAAUCUGCCUUGUACUGAGGGAUAGCCCAGAGAAAUUUGGAUUAACACCUCAUAGUAUUUUUGCCUGGCAUCAGGUGAUUAUUAAAGGUUACGGUACAAGAUGAGCAUGCGUCCCAUUAGCUAGUUGGUAUGGUAACGGCAUACCAAGGCUACGAUGGGUAGGGGUCCUGAGAGGGAGAUCCCCCACACUGGCACUGAGACACGGACCAGACUCCUACGGGAGGCAGCAGUGAGGAAUAUUGGUCAAUGGGCGCAAGCCUGAACCAGCCAUGCCGCGUGCAGGAUGAAGCAUCUAUGGUGUGUAAACUGCUUUUGUACGGGAAGAAACACUGCUACGUGUAGCAGCUUGACGGUACCGUAAGAAUAAGGAUCGGCUAACUCCGUGCCAGCCGCCGCCGUAAAAC
rnacentral:rRNA from 1 species